rnacentral:misc_RNA from 1 species
GAUGAAGAACGUAGUGAAAUGCGAUACGUAAUGUGAAUUGCAAAUUCAGUGAAUCAUCGAAUCUUUGAACGCACAUUGCGCCCGCCAGUAUUCUGGCGGGCAUGCCUGUUCGAGCGUCAUUUCAACCAUCAAGCCCCCGGCUUGUGUUGGGGACCUGCGGCUGCCGCAGGCCCUGAAAACCAGUGGCGGGCUCGCUAGUCACUCCGAGCGUAGUAAUACAUCUCGCUCAGGGCGUGCUGCGGGUUCCGGCCGUUAAAAAGCCUUAUUUACCCAAGGUUGACCUCGGAUCAGGUAGGAAGACCCGCUGAACUUAAGCAUAUCAAUAAGCGGAGGA